rnacentral:rRNA from 1 species
UGGGGAAUAUUGGACAAUGGGCGCAAGCCUGAUCCAGCCAUACCGCGUGGGUGAAGAAGGCCUUCGGGUUGUAAAGCCCUUUUGUUGGGAAAGAAAUCCAGCUGGUUAAUACCCGGUUGGGAUGACGGUACCCAAAGAAUAAGCACCGGCUAACUUCGUGCCAGCAGCCGCGGUAAUACGAAGGGUGCAAGCGUUACUCGGAAUUACUGGGCGUAAAGCGUGCGUAGGUGGUCGUUUAAGUCCGUUGUGAAAGCCCUGGGCUCAACCUGGGAACUGCAGUGGAUACUGGGCGACUAGAGUGUGGUAGAGGGUAGCGGAAUUCCUGGUGUAGCAGUGAAAUGCGUAGAGAUCAGGAGGAACAUCCAUGGCGAAGGCAGCUACCUGGACCAACACUGACACUGAGGCACGAAAGCGUGGGGAGCAAACAGGAUUAGAUACCCUGGUAGUCCACGCCCUAAACGAUGCGAACUGGAUGUUGGGUGCAAUUUGGCACGCAGUAUCGAAGCUAACGCGUUAAGUUCGCCGCCUGGGGAGUACGGUCGCAAGACU